GAGGGUGUAGCUCAAGCGGUAAAGUGCAUGCUUAGCAUGCACGAGGUCCUGGGUUCAAUCCCCAAUACCUCCU
rfam:Camelus ferus unplaced genomic scaffold scaffold307, whole genome shotgun sequence.